CCUACGGGAGACAGCAGUAGGGAAUAUUGCUCAAUGGGGGAAACCCUGAAGCAGCAACGCCGCGUGGAGGAUGAAGGUUUUCGGAUUGUAAACUCCUUUUGUUAGAGAAGAUAAUGACGGUAUCUAACGAAUAAGCACCGGCUAACUCCGUGCCAGCAGCCGCGGUAAUACGGAGGGUGCAGGCGUUACUCGGAAUCACUGGGCGUAAGGAGCGCGUAGGCGGUAUAGCAAGUCAGAUGUGAAAUCCUAUGGCUUAACCAUAGAACUGCAUUUGAAACUGUUAUUCUAGAGUAUGGGAGAGGUAGGUGGAAUUCUUGGUGUAGGGGUAAAAUCCGUAGAGAUCAAGAGGAAUACUCAUUGCGAAGGCGACCUGCUAGAACAUAACUGACGCUGAUGCGCGAAAGCGUGGGGAGCAAACAGGAUUAGAUACCCGUGUAGUC
rnacentral:rRNA from 1 species